GGAGGCUGGGUGGGGACUGUGUUUCUAGCUGCAGCCACUAACACAGGACGCGAUUCAGUGCUGAUCCUGUGGUAUGGCACUCCUACUUUAUUACAAAGACAUGGAUCUUAAAACCAAGUGGGAGGAAGCUUGCAACAAAUGCUCACAGACAUUCUUAGAACUUCUAAUUACACAUAAUAAAUAGCCAGUUGCUAGAGACACUAGAACGUGAAGUGGAGGAAACCCAGGCUACCCUCACAAGAGAUUGCUCCAAAGCGGAGGUAGAUACCUUUAACAAAGAGCUUGAUGACAACCUCAACACCUGGGAAAAAGAAAUCCAGAAUACGUAUAGUAAAAAGUACCAACUGGACUCGAUUGAUGCACAAAUCAAAAAGAGUAUAUCGAUGAAAGCAGAAUAAAAACAACAAUACAUUGAAACGGUCACUUUCCAUAUCAUCAGUAGCAUCCACAAGUGCUGACUCCACGGCAUCCUCUACCAAUAGACAUAAUUAUAACAGAAAAAGGAAGUUUACGUAUGGUAAUACAACAAGAUAUACUCCGAAACUACGCCAUUCCAGUCAAAGAGAUCAAAACCAGAGCUACAUGACAUCCUACAAGAAGCAGUAGAACAAGGGGUCUUGUCAUCUAAAGAAAAGGAGAUGUUAUUACCAUCCGAACCAACCAUGGUAUCUAUCUACCUACUCCUCAAGAGACGCUACCCUCCUCUUUAAAAGACACAAAUGAUGUAUUGCGGAAACUAGACCACCUCCAAUUGGAAUCAGAAAUUAUAUUGGCAACUUGUGAUGUCGAGGCCUUAUAUACCUCUAUCAGACAUAGUGAUGGC